rnacentral:rRNA from 1 species
AACGAACGCUGGCGGCAGGCCUAACACAUGCAAGUCGAGCGGACCCUUCGGGGUUAGCGGCGGACGGGUGAGUAACGCGUGGGAACGUGCCCUUUGCUUCGGAAUAGCCCUGGGAAACUGGGAGUAAUACCGGAUACGCCCUUUUGGGGAAAGAUUUAUCGGCGCAGGAUCGGCCCGCGUUGGAUUAGGUAGUUGGUGGGGUAAUGGCCUAACAAGCCGACGAUCCAUAGCUGGUGUGAGAGGAUGAUCAGCUACACUGGGACUGAGACACGGCCCAGACUCCUACGGGAGGCAGCAGUGGGGAAUCUUAGACAAGGGGGGAAAACGUGACAUAGCCAUGCCGCGUGAGCGAUGAAGGCCUUAGGGUUGUAAAGCUCUUUCAGCGGGGAAGAUAAUGACGGUACCCGGAGAAGAAGCCCCGGCUAACUCCGUG